GACGAACGCUGGCGGCGUGCUUAACACAUGCAAGUCGAGCGAGGCUCUGCUCUUCGGAGCGGAUGCCCUAGCGGCGAACGGGUGAGUAACACGUGGGCAACCUGCCCCUAGCACUGGGAGUAACCCCGGGAAACCCGGGAAGGCUAAUAACCGGACGUACGACCACCGGCGGGCAUCAUCUGGUGGGUGGAAAGAAUUUAUUCGGCGUAGGGAGUGGGCCCGGCCGGCCU
rnacentral:rRNA from 1 species